UUGAGAAGGUGAUGCUUGCUUGCGAAGAUACUGACGAGGACACUAUUGUUAGGAGCUAGGACCUUCUUGUGUUGGCAAAAGUCCUUAACCCUGUCAGUGGCAAUAUGUUGUGUAUAGACUACCUACUUCAUUAGUUCAGCUAGCUCGGGAUCAACAUAUCUUGGAUGAAUGUAUGGAUCAAGUUUGGAAAAUUCAGUAUAAGAAUGUGAAGCCGCGGUCACAAGAUCAUUUACAUGGAUCAUUUGGAGUUCCCACCUAAUGAUUAUGUCAUAGACUACUCGCUUCGAAGAGCUUUGUCCUAUAAAGAGCAAAGACUUCGACUUUGUAGUUGCUAUUGUCAUUGACAAGAAAAAUUUGUGCAAUACGACUAUCUUCGUGAGGCGACCUUUUCUCCUUUUGUCCAAGACAUUUAUAUGUACAUGUACGUGAACCCGUUGAAGAGGAUGAAAAUCAACUAGUCUGCAUCACUGAAUGAAUGACUUGUGCCAGGAUUUCCUAGUAGCCAGGAACUGGAUCUAACCUCAUUGUUUGGUUUCCCUUCUUUUUAUAUUCUCGAGUGCUGCAAUAUUGAUUUAAAAUUGUGUCAAUAGCUUACACUUUAAGCUUCAUUAGUUAGUACUAAUUGCUCCUUCAUUCUAUUCUCGUGUUAUUACCUUUUAUGCAAUUGCUGCUUUACUGUUGA